UCCGGAGAGGGAGCCUGAGAAACGGCUACCACAUCCAAGGAAGGCAGCAGGCGCGCAAAUUACCCACUCCCAGCUUGGGGAGGUAGUGACGAAAAAUAACGAGACGAUUCUCGUUUGAGAAACGUUAUCGAAAUGAGUACGCUUUACACACGCUAACGAGUAGCAAUUGGAGGGCAAGUCUGGUGCCAGCAGCCGCGGUAAUUCCAGCUCCAAUAGCGUAUAUUAAAGUUGCUGCGGUUAAAACGCUCGUAGUUGAAUUGUGGUCUUAGACAACAGUCCCCCUACAUAGGUGUGGCACGGUUGCUCGAGAUCUUCAUUCGUGGUUGCUGUUGUUGCUCUUCAUUGAGUGUCAAUGGUGCCUCGAGAUUUUACUUUGAAAAAAUUAGAGUGCUCAAAGCAGGUUGUGAUGCCUGAAUAAUGGUGCAUGGAAUAAUAGAAUACGAUCUCGGUUCUAUUUUGUUGGUUUUCGAACCGGAGAUAAUGAUUGAAAGGAACAGACGGGGGCAUUCGUAUUGCUGCGUUAGAGGUGAAAUUCUUGGAUCGCAGCAAGAUGAACAAUUGCGAAAGCAUUUGCCAAGAAUGUUUUCAUUAAUCAAGAACGAAAGUUAGAGGUUCGAAGGCGAUCAGAUACCGCCCUAGUUCUAACGGUAAACUAUGCCAACCAGCGAUUCGCCGAAGUUCAUUUAAGACUCGGCGAGCAGCUUCCGGGAAACCAAAGUGUUUCGGUUCCGGGGGAAGUAUGGUUGCAAAGCUGAAACUUAAAGGAAUUGACGGAAGGGCACCACCAGGAGUGGAGCCUGCGGCUUAAUUUGACACAACACGGGAAAACUCACCCGGCCCGGACACUGGAAGGAUUGACAGAUUGACAGCUCUUUCUUGAUUCAGUGAGUGAGUGAGCAAGGCCGUAGAAUAUAAUACGUGCCGUAGAACGCGUGCCUACGUGCCCUUUUUGCCAGUUGUACUCGCAACGCCGGUCGCCACAGGUCGCAUGGACCGCAAGCUGAAAAAGCCGCUGAUGGAAAAACGACGCCGCGCGCGUAUCAACCAUUGUCUCGCUGAAUUGAAAAGUAUCCUGAUGGCGGCGGACCCUAAGGCGGACCAAAAUUCCGUCGGACAGAGCAAAGUGGAAAAGGCGGAUAUAUUGGAAAUGACUGUCCAAUUGUUGAAGCAGCCUACCGAACCCAA
rnacentral:rRNA from 1 species